GACUGCUGUGUGUGAAGCACUCAAGAGGGCCCCUACAACCAACCUGCCAGGAGUCGGCUCCUGAAAACAGGGUCGGAAAAGGGGUCUGGCACUCUUCCUCAUGCUUACGAGAUGGCUGCUGGAAUUCCAGGAAUCACAUGCAAAUUCUAGUCAGGAGCAAAGAGGAAGAGACACAGUGAAAAGGGGUAUACAGCGGCAGAAGGAAGCUCCUCAAAUGAACUCUGCUAGAACUCUAGCCAGUAGCUUCUCCUUCUAUCACAGUGGCCAGAACUGUGACAAGUGACCAUCCUUAGGGGAAAAAAGAUGCUGAGAAAUGUGAAUUUUGUUGCCACCUUACAUUUUCAAAGGAGUUCCAUUCGUAAGUACAGAACGCUCAGAGAAGAGGCAGCAGAUCUAGGAUAUGGAGCAGCAGCUCUUAAGGGCACAGUGGGAAGGUUUCAAGACUGAGGAGGAUCUUGGAUUUGGGUAGGGGAAGGCAGUUCACAGUAUUGUGGAGGAAAUGCUGUGAAAGAGAAAGUGGAAGGCAUGGAAGCUUAAACUUUUAAUAUGACUGGUGAAUACAAGGAUGAAGGGCAAAGGGAAUUCAGACUCAUGGUGGUCAGAUUAAGACCUUCAGCGGCUCUGUCUCCCAGCCCCACAUACCCACUUCCAUGUUCUGCUCUUUACUGAAGCUGAAAGUCUGCAACCUUCAUUCUCUGACUCCCUUACAUUUUCUUAGGCUUCUUGCUAGCUUCUGCCAAAAAGAGGCCCUGGCAGGAGAUUAGAUGGCAGGAGGCAGAGGUAAGGAUUCCAUGUUAACAGGUGCUGGAAGUUGCUGGUGUGGCAAUGAGAACUGGGCCCCGGUCAAGGCAGCACUACUUUGGUAGAUCCAGAAUCAACCAUGAUAACCGUGACAGUGUCUUCAACAGUGCAGCAGUAGACACAGGCCCCUGGUGCUGGAAUCCAAUACAGGGACAGGAGCAGCACGGAGUCACGGAACACCGUCUUGCCUUCAUGUCACUUUACCAUUUCUUCUUUCUCCCUCUUACUCUACCAGCUACCUGUGGAGAUGUUGAACCUUUUAUCUGUCGCUGUCUGCUUAGGAACAGAAGAAAAGGCAGCUGAUUGCUUGACUCAGCUUUCAGCUUGAUUUUUUUCCUUUGGCAGAGUGAAUUGGGGUCCCAGGUGUUCAUUUUCCUUUUGUAGUACCUUUCCUCAGCAUGCAAUUAAUACAAAAAGAACAAUAAACCUUAACAAAGUUUGGCUUGUAUUA
rnacentral:lncRNA from 1 species